GAUUGUGGUUCAGAGGUAGAGCACACGCCUUGCACAUCUGAGGCACUGGGUUCAAUCCUCAGCACAACA
rnacentral:tRNA from 1 species